GGAAGAGAUUAAUAACUCCUACGAUCAGUACUGCUAAUAGGUUUCUGAACAAAUUCUAACACUGAGAUUUCUUAAUAUUCCCCUCUCCUUUUGUCACUCCCCACUUAGCAAGCGUCUUUUUGGUCUUUUUCAUUAAAUUUUUUGUUUGUUUAUUUUUUGCCUUUGCUUACUGUGUGGCAGUGGAAAAGCAGAUUUCAAAGUGUGGGUUCUUGUUUCAGGACAUGCAUUUCGAUGGACUUAUUGGUAUUUCCAACCCAAGAAGGCUGCCUUAUAGGGCCAAUACCUAGGAAAGUAAAUAGCGCAAUCUCUGUGCUACUCAGGUAGGAAUAUUUUGACACAUGGUUUGUUAGAGAGCUGAAAUAGGCCUGAUAAGAUGUUAAAAAGCAUGAAGAGCAUUAUAAUGAAGUACUUACCAUUUGUCUUUUCAGUGGUCAGGAGAUUCUUCUGCAUUUAUCUGGAAGUUUCUAAUGCAAGCUGCCUUUGUGAAAAAGAACUCCCACAUCGUGGAUGUGUCCAAUUCAGAAGAACAAUAAACAUUGACUGUGGUACAAUAUCACUGCACAGACAGAUGCUCCAACUAUUGAGGGUAUUUUUUUGUCCACAGUUUCAUCAAACAUCAAGAGUCUCUUUCUAGGUCAGCUCCAAUGGAAAAGUACUUAUUUUAGAACCCUCAUUUUUUGUUUCCCUAGCAAUGCUGUGACAUCAUAUCAAGGUUCUUACACUCAAAAUUACAGCCUAAAUGUCCUUCUUGGUUCUUCUCAUACAACUCAUAUUUGGAGGUGUUUCAAUCUCCUCAUUAGAUGUAGCAAACCUAAAAUAUGCUGAAAAAAAAAAAAAAGAGAGAGAGAGGGAAAAAAAGAGAGAGGCUUUUCAAACAGGAAUUACACACUGAGUUGCAAGGAAUGAUCACUAUAGUAACGAGAAGGACACUGGAACGUUGAAAAUGUGGGAAGAUGCUAAAUUUAGAUCAAAAAAUGCACCAUAAGACCUGCACUGUGACUGUUUGCUGUGAAUCGUGUUGUAGGAUUUUCGUGCUUUUUGUGGCAUUAACUUCCCUACCCACAAACAAACAGCCUUCAAACUACCCAGAGGAGAUCAAACAGUUGAUGGCAUUUAUAUUUUUCUAGGAGUCAGAAAGAAGAAUUCAAUCCCACAAAAUUAAGUGCCUCUAGGAGAAAAAAGUGACCACGUGGAUGUUGGACAUCAAAGACAGAAAUAUCUUCCAUCUCUGUUUAGUGUUCCCAAACUCCAGACAGCCUUUUUUAUUUUUUACUUUUUCUCCACUUCCUUUCCCUCCUGGCUCUCUGAAUUAUACUUAGGAAACUGGAGGAUAGAUUUCACCUUCACUUGGGCUCGUUUUUGGUAAUACACAAAGUCUAAUGGAGGAUUGUUCUGCUUUUUCACAAAUGAUUGAUUCUGCUUCUUUGGUGGUCCCAACACAAAUCUGUAGGGUGUUGGCCAUUAUCUCACCAACAGCAAACUCCUGAAGGCUGACUGUGUUCCAAGUAGUGCAAAAACGUGUUGUUAGUUACACAUCUUGCUUUGUCCAUCACCUAUGUUGUCUAAAAAUAUUGGGUGCUCAUGACCCAGAUUUUUACUAAAACUUUCAGGAAAAGUUGGCCUUCCUUGGACUGUGGCUCUGAAAGAGCCAGGUGAAGGGCUGUAUUUUGAAAGACUGUACUUGUUUCCAACCCAACCCCAUGAUAGAGCAGACACCUCUCAUUGGUUUGGACCCAGGAGGGAUGAGAAGUGUAGUGUUCCCGUGCUUCUGCAUGACCAGCCUGAUACAGUUCAUAACAAUAAAAAUAUAUCUCCCCCUCUUCUGCUCUAAAGUCCAAGGAGAAUGAAGUACAGUUCAUUACCAAAAAGAAACAAUCCAUCUAGUAAAUAGUCCAGACCCACAAGGAGUCCAGAGGAUAUCCAGAGGUGAAAUAUUUAUUUUCCAAUGAAUUGCCUGACAGUCCUUACCAAGUCAGUCUUGAGUGGGAGCCUGGGAAUCCCUUCCCUCUGUAGUCUCCUUUCUCUCCCUACUUCCCCAUCGAUGCCUAGCCCCUUCCUGGGGGUGCUGGCUCCAUCUUGGGUGUGGAAGAGGCAGUAAGAUUCCUUGAGAUCAUGAUGACCAUUUUUCCUAGACAACUCGACCUCCUUUUUACUUGCAUUCUCCCUUAUAAGAAGAGGCUGGGCCAGACAUCGAAAGGUGAUCAAUAAAUGGUGAUCCUCCUUCAAAAAAAAUAAAAUAAAAUUUGUUAAUUCAACAGUUUAAUUGAAAAAAUGAACCUGGUAAAAUAUAUAUUAAAAAAAAAAGGAAGAGGAGGCUGAGGCAUUUCAGAAUCUUCUGAUUGGAUCAAUUAAAAUAAAGAUAAGACUUUUUUCUCAUAACAUUGGCCAUUGCUCAUAGCAUCACAUAUUUAGUGUGGUUAAAAUUUCUUUCAUUUGAGUCUGUAUUACAAAACCCCCCUCAUCAGAGGUAAAGAAGGAAUAAAAGAUAGAAUAUG
ensembl:lncRNA